CGGCGUGCUUAACACAUGCAAGUCGAACGGAAAGGCCCUGCUUUUGUGGGGUGCUCGAGUGGCGAACGGGUGAGUAACACGUGAGUAACCUGCCCUUGACUUUGGGAUAACUUCAGGAAACUGGGGCUAAUACCGGAUAGGAGCUCCUGCUGCAUGGUGGGGGUUGGAAAGUUUCGGCGGUUGGGGAUGGACUCGCGGCUUAUCAGCUUGUUGGUGGGGUAGUGGCUUACCAAGGCUUUGACGGGUGGCCGGCCUGAGAGGGUGACCGGCCACAUUGGGACUGAGAUACGGCCCAGACUCCUACGGGAGGCAGCAGUGGGGAAUAUUGCACAAUGGGCGGAAGCCUGAUGCAGCAACGCCGCGUGCGGGAUGACGGCCUUCGGGUUGUAAACCGCUUUCGCCUGUGACGAAGCGUGAGUGACGGUAAUGGGUAAAGAAGCACCGGCUAACUACGUGCCAGCAGCCGCGGUGAUACGUAGGGUGCGAGCGUUGUCCGGAUUUAUUGGGCGUAAAGGGCUCGUAGGUGGUUGAUCGCGUCGGAAGUGUAAUCUUGGGGCUUAACCCUGAGCGUGCUUUCGAUACGGGUUGACUUGAGGAAGGUAGGGGAGAAUGGAAUUCCUGGUGGAGCGGUGGAAUGCGCAGAUAUCAGGAGGAACACCAGUGGCGAAGGCGGUUCUCUGGGCCUUUCCUGACGCUGAGGAGCGAAAGCGUGGGGAGCGAACAGGCUUAGAUACCCUGGUAGUCCACGCUGUAAACGGUGGGUACUAGGUGUGGGGUCCAUUCCACGGGUUCCGUGCCGUAGCUAACGCUUUAAGUACCCCGCCUGGGGAGUACGGCCGCAAGGCUAAAACUCAAAGGAAUUGACGGGGCCCCGCACAAGCGGCGGAGCAUGCGGAUUAAUUCGAUGCAACGCGUAGAACCUUACCUGGGUUUGACAUGGAUCGGGAGUGCUCAGAGAUGGGUGUGCCUCUUUUGGGGUCGGUUCACAGGUGGUGCAUGCCUGUCGUCAGCUCGUGUCGUGAGAUGUUGGGUUAAGUCCCGCAACGAGCGCAACCCUUGUUCACUGUUGCCAGCACGUUAUGGUGGGGACUCAGUGGAGACCGCCGGGGUCAACUCGGAGGAAGGUGGGGAUGACGUCAAGUCCUCAUGCCCCUUAUGUCCAGGGCUUCACGCAUGCUACAAUGGCUGGUACAGAGAGUGGCGAGCCUGUGAGGGUGAGCGAAUCUCGGAAAGCCGGUCUCAGUUCGGAUUGGGGUCUGCAACUCGACCUCAUGAAGUCGGAGUCGCUAGUAAUCGCAGAUCAGCAACGCUGCGGUGAAUACGUUCCCGGGGCUUGUACACACCGCCCGUCAAGUCAUGAAAGUUGGUAACACCCGAAGCCGGUGGCCUAACCGUUGUGGGGGAGCCGUCGAAGGUGGGACUGGUGAUUAGGACUAAG
rnacentral:rRNA from 1 species